GAAGUAGCCACUACUUAUCCUCCCAAAGUAUAUAGAAAAGAAUUGUUUAAUCAUAAUUUUGCAACAUUCCAUGUUAACGGCAUUGACUUCUACAUCAAUGGGCAUGACCACUGCCUGGGACACAUAAGCAGCAGAGACAGUCUAAUCCAAUACUUCACAAGUGGUGGUGGUUCCAGAGCAUGGAGAGGAUUCUUCCAGCCAAUCAAGGUAGCCUCGAGUUCUUUUAUGAUGGGCAAGGGUUCAUGUCCGUCCAGCUACACCAGGACCAAGCUGACUUCAUCUUUUAUGACGUUGAUGAUGGGAAUAUACUGUGCCAGUAGUCCCAGUGGAGCUCGAGAAAAGCAUACCUCCCCUCCAGCUAUAUCGCUGAAGCAUGAGGCAGAUCCAAAUCACCAUUGGAGAAUUAGAUUGGUUCAGCUCUCUGUGUAAAAUUUGAACAAGACAUUGGGGUAAGUGCCUAAGUGGCAUAAGUGGUCUAGAAAGGAAAAACAUGCUAGUAUUUAAUGUGGUGUGUAGUUCAUCUGCAGAGAAACAUGUUGUGGGCACAAACUUCCUACUACAGUAGGAGCAGAGAUGUAAUGUGAAUGUGCAAGCCUGCAAGGUCCAUUUGUUUCUGGCAUAUCAGCUGCUGGGAACUACUUAUGACUUAUGAGCUAUAUUGGACUGGACUGUAAGAAUAUUUUCUACAGAACCCAUGAAUUAAGAACCAUGUGCUCUCUUGUGUUUC